GCGCUGUGGGUUUGUCCUGCAGCGCUGCUGUCUGGUUUUAGACUACCAUGGGAACACAGCCUUUGCACGGCACCAGCCAGGCCUGUCCGCGAAGGUGAAAGGAACAGAUACAGUGAGUUAAGAGUGCAAUAAGGUCUCUCUGCUGUGGGACAGAGCAUGCCCAGCCCCUUGUGCGUGUGGUGAACGGGUUAGAUGAGGGAGCAGCACUUUACCUGGUUGAAGCCCUCACUUUAAGAGCAGAGCUGUGGAGCCGGCUGGCUCUCGAGGGCUGCAGCACCAGUAUGAACUGCCGCAGACUGCUUUAUCUUUUCUCUGAAGAGGAGGUUGUAGAAUGUUCUGCCGAUACCAUUGCUGGAAACAUUCAACAUUACUCUUUUCAUACCAACAAAUGUAACAGAGUGGUACCCAAAGCAAUAGCUGCCAAUGCUACUGAGCAUGCCAAUCAGCAGUUCAGGCAGAGAAAGAAGAGGUUGCUUUUUCAACACCAUUCCUG